rnacentral:rRNA from 1 species
CGUAACAAGGUCUCCGUAGGUGAACCUGCGGNNNNAUCAUUACACAAAUAUGAAGGCGGGCUGGAACCUCUCGGGGUUACAGCCUUGCUGAAUUAUUCACCCUUGUCUUUUGCGUACUUCUUGUUUCCUUGGUGGGUUCGCCCACCACUAGGACAAACAUAAACCUUUUGUAAUUGCAAUCAGCGUCAGUAACAAAUUAAUAAUUACAACUUUCAACAACGGAUCUCUUGGUUCUGGCAUCGAUGAAGAACGCAGCGAAAUGCGAUAAGUAGUGUGAAUUGCAGAAUUCAGUAAAUCAUCGAAUCUUUGAACGCACAUUGCGCCCUUUGGUAUUCCAAAGGGCAUGCCUGUUCGAGCGUCAUUUGUACCCUCAAGCUUUGCUUGGUGUUGGGUGUCUUGUCUCUAGCUUUGCUGGAGACUCGCCUUAAAGUAAUUGGCAGCCGGCCUACUGGUUUCGGAGCGCAGCACAAGUCGCACUCUCUAUCAGCAAAGGUCUAGCAUCCAUUAAGCCUUUUUUUCAACUUUUGACCUCGGAUCAGGUAGGGAUACCCGCUGAACUUAAGCAUAUCA